rnacentral:rRNA from 1 species
GACGAACCGAGCGAACGUUAUUCGGAAUCACUGGGCUUAAAGGGCGCGUAGGCGGGCCGUCAAGUCGAGGGUGAAAUCCCCCAGCUCAACUGGGGAAGUGCCUCCGAUACUGGCGGCCUCGAGGGGGAUAGGGGCAUGCGGAACUUCCGGUGGAGCGGUGAAAUGCGUAGAUAUCGCUUGGAACGCCGAAGGUGAAAACAGGUUGCUGGGGUUGUGCCGACGCUGAGACACGAAAGCCGGGGGAGCAAACGGGAUUAGA